GAUUGGCUGUUAUUGGAGUAAUAGUUAAUUCUGCUUAACUAAUAAACUAAAUCCAGUCAAAAAAAUAAACUAAAUUUAAUUUCUCAUCGUAUUUUUGUUAUAUUGGCUCCAUUUCUUUUUAUUGUUAGAUUUUCAUGAUAAUUCAAUGGCUCACUAUCUAUCUCUCGAUGUGGCAGGACCUACAUUGUUUGCUCCUGUAGUUGAGAUGGCCAUGACAAUUGUUGAGGAGAGUAGAGGACGAUACCAUGUUUUACUCAUUAUUGUAGAUGGAUUAAUCGAAGACACUCGUAAAUCAUCAAGCAAUUAGUAGAAGAUAGAGAGAAACUUGAUUCCAUUAGUUUUAUUUCCUUGGAGCUGUUGUGUAGUUUUUUUUUUCUUUUUAAUUGUAUAUAAUAAUAGUGUAAUGGAGUACUACUAAGUUUUGAUUUAUUUGGUUUUUUCUUGUAUUUGACUUCACCUUUAUCAAUUAAAGAUUGAAUUUAGUUUUA